GCGCCCAUCGUCUAUCGGUUAGGACACAAGGUUUUCAUCCUUGUAAGCGGGGUUCGAUUCCCCGUGGGCGCGCCA
rnacentral:tRNA from 1 species